CAGUAGCCGCGGUAAUACGUAGGUCCCGAGCGUUGUCCGGAUUUAUUGGGCGUAAAGCGAGCGCAGGCGGUUAGAUAAGUCUGAAGUUAAAGGCUGUGGCUUAACCAUAGUACGCUUUGGAAACUGUUUAACUUGAGUGCAGAAGGGGAGAGUGGAAUUCCAUGUGUAGCGGUGAAAUGCGUAGAUAUAUGGAGGAACACCGGUGGCGAAAGCGGCUCUCUGGUCUGUAACUGACGCUGAGGCUCGAAAGCGUGGGGAGCAAACAGGAUUAGAGACCCCUGUAGUCCCUGUCCUUAUACAC
rnacentral:rRNA from 1 species